GGGCAGCAGUGAGGAAUAUUGGUCAAUGGGAGCAAUCCUGAACCAGCAAUGCCGCGUGUGGGAUGACAGGGCUUCGCCUUGUAAACCACUGUCGGACGGGACGAAAGGAGGCCACGGGCCUCUGGGACGGUACCGUCAAAGGAAGGGUCGGCUAACUACGUGCCAGCAGCCGCGGUAAUACGUAGGACCCGAGCGUUGUCCGGAUUUACUGGGUAUAAAGGGUGCGUAGGCGGCCUUGUGCGUCAGAGGUGAAAUAUCCGGGCUUAACCCGGAGGGUGCCUUUGAUACGGCAGGGCUUGAGUGCGAGAGAGGAUGAUGGAAUUCCUGGUGUAGCGGUGAAAUGCGUAGAUAUCAGGAGGAACACCGGUGGCGAAGGCGGUCAUCUGGCUCGUAACUGACGCUGAGGCACGAAAGCGCGGGGAUCAAACAGGAUUAGAUACCCUGGUAGUC
rnacentral:rRNA from 1 species